rnacentral:rRNA from 1 species
GGUACGGGGGGAGCAAGCGUUUGUUCGGGAUUUACUGGGGCGUAAAGGGCGCGUAGGCGGUCAGCACAAGUCAAGUUGUGGAAAUUCUCCGGGGACUUAACUCGGAAAGGUCAACUGAUACUGUGCGACUAGAGUGGCAGAAGGGGCAACUGAAUUCUCGGCGUAGCGGUGAAAUGCGUAGAUAUCGAGAGGAACACCUGCGGCGAAGGCGGGUUGCUGGGCUGACACUGACGCUGAUGCGCGAAAGCCAGGGGAGCGAACGGG